rnacentral:rRNA from 1 species
AUUGAACGCUGGCGGCAUGCCCUACACAUGCAAGUCGAACGGUAACGCGGGGCAACCUGGCGACGAGUGGCGAACGGGUGAGUAAAGCAUCGGAACGUGCCCAGUAGUGGGGGAUAGCCCGGCGAAAGCCGGAUUAAUACCGCAUACGACCUAUGGGUGAAAGGGGGGGAUCGCAAGACCUCUCGCUAUUGGAGCGGCCGAUGUCAGAUUAGGUAGUUGGUGGGGUAAAGGCCUACCAAGCCGACGAUCUGUAGCUGGUCUGAGAGGACGACCAGCCACACUGGGACCGAGACACGGCCCAGACUCCUACGGGAGGCAGCAGUGGGGAAUUUUGGACAAUGGGCGCAAGCCUGUUCCAGCCAUGCCGCGUGCGGGAAGAAGGCCUUCGGGUUGUAAACCGCUUUUGUCAGGGAAGAAAUCCUUUGGGUUAAUACCUCGGGGGGAUGACGGUACCUGAAGAAUAAGCACCGGCUAACUACGUGCCAGCAGCCGCCGUAA